UUUCUUCUAUCUUCCUCCUCAUUCUUCCUCAUCUCCCUCCCUCACCAAGAAUCCAACUAUCACAAUUACCAACCCAACCACCACAGCAGCUGACAGCCGCCGCCACCUACUGCCGCCACCUACUGCCGCCACUUUACGGCAGCCGCCACUUGCUGCCCCCACCACAAGUAGUAGUUUUGGAGGGUACUUCUCUCCUUCUUCCCAUCUCAUCCUUGUUCAUAAACUUGCAAAUUACUACUCCUUGGUGAUCUACAGCUUAUUAAGGUACCUUUAUAUUAUGAAUUUUUUUAGUUCUUUUUGUUUUAAAAAAAAUAUUUCGUUUAAAGUGGUCAUUUAUACUUAAACUCUAUAAAUAUGUCAAAUGUACUUGUUAUUUGCCAUGAUUUUCAUAAUGUGGUUGUUUGUUCAUGAAUUUAAUGUAGAAAAUGUUUAAAUUUAAUGUAGAGAAUGUUUGAAUGUGAACCCUAAUUUUGAACAAUGUACUUGCUUUCUUAUGAACUUGAUGGUGAUGUUGAUUUUGUACGUAUUGUUGUAGAAAUGACUUUAUUUCGUGUGACUGUCGUAUGUUUUUGUAAUGGUUCAAUUCGAUCAAGUAGUAGCAAUGUUAAGUAUGUUGGGGGAAAACGUAAAUUGUUUGCAUGCAGCUCAAACAUGAACUUGAAUGAAUUUAAACAUCUUAUAUCUCUAAGAUAGGCAUUGACACUACAAGAAUUACUGUUAAUGUAAGUUUUAAAUACAAUAUGAGUGGAGAAUUGUUAGCUCUUUCGGUUGAGGAUGAGGAGGCUAUAGAUGCAAUGUGGGAGUAUUCAAAGUCUACCUCUAUUCCUUCUUUAGAUUUAUAUGUAGAAGAGGUACCCCUAGGGAAUCAAGAUGUCAACGUUGUAGAAACAAAUGUAUUCCUGAAUGUAACUUCGUCUGUUCCUUCUCCUACGCCCUUUCCUACCCAAGAAACCAAAAAUCCCACUAUGCUAUCUUCCUCUUCUCCUUCUAAUGAACCCAAUCAAUUUUAAAUUCAAGUCUCAAAUGAUUAUACUUUUAACUUAGAAGAUACAUAUAAGCCUUGGGAUGAUGUUAAUAGUGAGAGUAAUUAAUUCGCUGAAGCUCCUUCUGAGGACGAUGUGGGUGUUGAUGAGGAGGCUCUAGCUAAUGACAUGACCUUAGGCAACAUUCUAACAAUCGUUGCUCCUACACCUUAUGCACUAGUUCUCCCUUUAGAUGAACACGUUGAGGACAAAUCUUGAAGGUCUUGGCAUGUGAUACAACCUACACUGAUGAAGGAGAGUUUCAAAAGGGUAUGAUGUUUGAUAACAAGGAUGCCUUGUUGGACGCUGUUAGAUUGUAUCAUAUUCGUAGGAACUUUGAGUAUCGAACUGAGACUUCAAAUCAAACCGUGCUUACCUUGAAGUGUUAGAGAGGGUGUGCUUGAAGGCUAAGGGCUAGGAUGAGCUCCUAUUCACCUUCAUGGGAGAUUGUUACAUAUAAAGGGAAGCAUGGGGGUUGUGGAUUAAGUACUGAAAAUGUGUCAGCUGGGCACAUUCAUUUGACAUCUUCCGUGAUUAACAAUGUUAUUAGAAAUUGUGUUGCUGAAGUCUCAUCAAUUAAGGUCUUUGUGGUGCGACAAAUGGUGAAAGACCAAUUUGGUGUCGAAGUGACCUAUAAGCUGGCAUGGUGUGCUAAACAGCAAGCCCUUCUCUCCAUCCAUGGGACAUGGUAAGACUCUUAUCCUCUCCUUCCUCACUUCUUGAAAGCAAUGCAAGUUUCUAACCCCGGGACUGUAGUUGAGUGGUUCUUUAAGGAAGAUAAUGAUGUUGGUGUGUACGUCCGUCCUAGUAUUAUAACUUUCCAACGUGUGUUCUGGGCUUUUAAACCUAGUAUAAAGGGGUUCAAGUAUUGCAAACCCCUUAUUGCCAUUGACAGAACACACUUGUACGGUAAGUAUCGCCAUACAUUAUUGAUUGUGAUUGCUCGAGAUGGGAACAAGGGAAUCUUCCCGCUUGCCUUUGCUUUAGUAGAGAAGGAAUGCAUAGCUGCGUGGUCUUGGUUUAUGGCGUGUAUUCGUAAGCAUGUGAUGCAUAGUUUAUAUUUAUGUGUUAUUUCUUAUAGACAUGCGGGCAUUGUAGCAACCAUAGAGGAGCUGGAAUAGAAACCUCUAAAUGCCCAUCAUAGGUUUUGCUUGCGGCAUUUGUUAAGUAACUUCAAUUGUCACUUUACUUGACGUAGCUGUGCUUACACGGCUUCCCAUCGAGGGACAUGCUGUUUCUACCGUUGGACGCUAACUCGAAAGUUGGCAAGAUAUAGUUCAUAGGGUCUUAGAAGUCCGACCUCCCCUAGAGGCAGCCAAAGGGAGUGGGUUGCGCGUAACAUGGCUUGCGCAGAACUUCUCGCACCUCCCUGAAGGUGCUGAUGAGGCUACCAUGGCGUAUCUCUUACAUCUAAUUGGUGUUGUCUUGUUCUCCGACAAGACUGGCAACAGAGUACAGCUUUUGUACUUGACGUUGCUUGAUGCACCAUGGGAGGUAAUCUCCGGUUACAGUUGGGGUUCCGCAGCCCUAGGUUAUCUGUACAGGAGACUUUGUGACGCUUCACGGAAGAACUUUAAGGAGAUCGCUGAGCCCCUGAUUAUUCUCCAGCUUUGGCCGUGGGAGCACAUUCUCAUUGGGCAACCAAUGAGGACUGUGGGACGUGGUGCAUUUACGCCACCAAUUCUUCCACCCCUACAUGUGCCGUAUGGAUCGCGUUGGUCCUUUGAUAGACGUACAAGGACCCACACAGGAUCUGGCGUGGGCUUCUACCGCGAUCAAUUUGAUAUGCCUCGAGCUGACCAGUUUCGAUGGGACCGUUACCCCGCUGAGGCAUACGCUGCAUUGCCUCAGCGCUCAGACAUAUUGUGAGGGGCGUGGAGAGCAUCUGUGCCUCUGAUUUGCUUCGACAUAGUCGAAGUGCAUCUCUCUGAGCGCGUACUGCGCCAAUUUGAGAUGGUAUAGGGUAUCCUGCCGCCAUGUGACACAGAGGCGGAGCUCCAUCACAGCUGACGCAAGGGUCGGGAACCCAAGAAACUAGCGCCAUAUCGCUCGUUGGGAGCACAGGCUAGAGCUGCUGGCCCAAGGUGGGCCGAUCGAUGUUGUAGGCGCACCUACUUCAGCGGAUUACAUGCCGUGGUUCCUCUCCAUCACUCAUCGAUCGAUGACACCACAAGGUAUCAUCGCAGCCGCCCAGUAUGCUUCCGCAGUACCGACGAUGACACAGUUUAUUUAAAGUGGGCCGUUGAAUGGAUAAACGAGGGCCCAACUCCAAACUAUUUGCCUUCCUCUUUCUAUAAAAAUGAGAAAUUUUCUGGACAACAAGCUUGAACAACAAGCCUCCAACCUCAAGUUCAAAUCGCCGACUUCCAACAUUUCACGUCUCUAGAACUCUAGAAUAAUCUUCUUCAUCCAAA